GACGAACGCUGGCGGCGUGCUUAACACAUGCAAGUCGAACGGAAAGGCCCCUUUGGGGGUACUCGAGUGGCGAACGGGUGAGUAACACGUGCGUAACCUGCCCUUGACUUCGGGAUAACUUCAGGAAACUGGGGCUAAUACCGGAUAGGAAUCCUUGCUGCAUGGUGGGGGUUGGAAAGCUUCGGCGGUUUUGGAUGGACUCGCGGCUUAUCAGCUUGUUGGUGGGGUAGUGGCUUACCAAGGCUUUGACGGGUAGCCGGCCUGAGAGGGCGACCGGCCACAUUGGGACUGAGAUACGGCCCAGACUCCGACGGGAGGCAGCAGUGGGGAAUAUUGCACAAGGGGCGGAAGCCUGAUGCAGCAACGCCGCGUGCGGGAUGACGGCCUUCGGGUUGUAAACCGCUUUCAGCAGGGGCGAAGCUUGUGGUGACGGUACCUGCAGAAGAAGCACCGGCUAACUACGUG
rnacentral:rRNA from 1 species